UACGUAGGGGGCGAGCGUUGUCCGGAUUUAUUGGGCGUAAAGAGCGUGUAGGCGGCCAGGUAGGUCUGCUGUGAAAACUCGAGGCUCAACCUCGAGACGUCGGCGGAAACCAUCUGGCUAGAGUCCGGAAGAGGAGAGUGGAAUUCCUGGUGUAGCGGUGAAAUGCGCAGAUAUCAGGAAGAACACCCGUGGCGAAGGCGGCUCUCAGGGACGGUACUGACGCUGAGACGCGAAAGCGUGGGGAGCGAACAGG
rnacentral:rRNA from 1 species